rnacentral:ncRNA from 1 species
UAAGUCCCUGUCAGGUAAGGUUUAACCAACCACCUGUAUCGAGUGUUGCGCCUUUGGCGGAGUUUGAGAUUAGCCGAUGCUUUUCAGUGAGCGAUCACAAUCAAGCGAACAAUAUAGGUGAAGCGUACACAGAGAAUCAUAUAGGCCAUAGGGAUUGUCGUGAUCCUGAAGUGCUGGUAUCGCUCCGAUAAAUAUGAGGUCUGACUGACGAGGUUUACUUUUUUUAUAAUGAAAAGGCCAUCGAAGUCCAAGUUGCACAACGUUUUGGUGAGGUUGUGGCGAGUCAGCGGCUUAUUUUAAAA